rnacentral:misc_RNA from 1 species
UACAGAGGUCCCGAGCGUUGUUCGGAUUCACUGGGCGUAAAGGGUGCGCAGGUGGGUUUGCAAGUUUGAUGUGAAAGCCCCGGGCUUAACCCGGGAAUGGCAUUGAAUACUGCAGAUCUGGAGGAUCGGAGGGGGGACUGGAAUUCUUGGUGUAGCAGUGAAAUGCGUAGAUAUCAAGAGGAACACCAGUGGCGAAGGCGAGUCCCUGGACGAUACCUGACACUGAGGCACGAAAGCUAGGGGAGCAAACAGG